ACACAGACAGUAACUGAGUAAUACAGUACGAAUAUUCAUUUAGAAAGUAGACAUCUAUCAUCUAGAUCUUUGUCUAUCUUAGAUUUUAUAGACUCUAGGUCUACAUAGAUAUAGAUCGACCUAAAUCGAUUUCAAAUCUAGAUCUUAUUAAAUAGACUCUGUACUUAUACUGCACCUGCAUUAAUCGAAUUUACUUAAACGCCAAACGGCCUUGUUUGGGGCAGUUGGGCCUGGCCCUGGGGCAGUGACAGUGAGUUGGCUGACUAAGUCACCACUGACUAAGUGAGUUGGGGACACUUGCUGACUUGGCUUAGUACUUGCCUACUUCAGUACUUGGUGACAUAGCAUACUCAUGUCGAGCCAUGUAUUGUACACUGUACUCAGUUACUUACUACUAUAACUUAGAUCUACUGGACUAAAUCUAUACUAUAUCUAUACUUCUAUAGUUAAUGACUAUAGUUACGUCUAAUAAUAAUCAUUAUAAUGAUUUAUCUUUAUAGAAAAGACUAACACUUCAGUAACAC